AUGUUUGGAUCCUUAUCUCACCAAGGGUUUGGAUCCUUAUCUCACCAAAUGUUUGGAUCCUUAUCUCACCAAGGGUUUGGAUCCUUAUCUCACCAAGGAUUUGGAUCCUUGUCACUGAGAAUGUUUGGAUUCUCCCUCUCCAAGGGUUUGGAUCCUUAUCUCACCAUGGGUUUGGAUCCUUAUCUCACCAAGGGUUUGGAUUCUCCCACUCCAAGGGUUUGGAUCCUUAUCUCUCCAAGGGUUUGGAUCCUUAUCUCACCAAAUGUUUGGAUCCUUAUCUCUCCAAGGGUUUGGAUCCUUCUCACUGAGAAUGGAUUCUUUCCACUCCAAGGGAUUGGAUCCUUAUCUCACCAAGGGAUUGGAUCCUUAUCUCACCAAGGGUUUGGAUCCUUAUCUCACCAAGGGUUUGGAUUCUCCCACUCCAAAUGCUUGGAUUCUCCCUCUCCAAGGGUUUGGAUUCUUAUCUCAUCNGUUUCCGUGUCCUGAAAUGCAAUCCCACAGUGUGGAAGCCAGGUGAGCCUUCCAGGGGAAAACAGAAUUCCAGGAGUUCCCUGGGAUGGGCAAUCUGCAAAAUCAGGGUCUGAGCUGGGUUAAAUCGGGGUUUAAACCCCUCUGAGAAUUCCCAGAGCGUUCCUGAAGGGCUGCAAUCCACACCUGCACCCCCUUCCCGGCAGGAAACCCCGCUAAUCUGCCUGGAGACACAGAAAUCUCCAUUUUUUUUUCUCUCAAAAACCCUGAUUUUCCCCAGCUUUGGGAGCUGUGGGAAGAGCUCCAGAAUUCCUGCUCCCUCUGGGGCAGCUCCGUGCCCGGGAUCUGGGGCACUGCUGCCUUCCCUGGCACCCCAAAUCUGCUGUUUUUUGCCUUAUUUUCAUCCUCCUCCUCCUCCUGGAAUCCUGGCUCCCGUUGGAGUUUUGGGCAGCUGGAAUUUGUAGGGCAAGGAGGGUUUGUUGUGUGAGGGUUUGAGCACAAGAAUUGAACGUUUUUCAUUGUUUGUUUGCUUUCAGUGCUGGGCUGGGUUGAUGCUCAGCUCCCACUGUGUGGGAGAUGUGGAAUAUUUAUUGCAAUUUCUGUUUUCCCAGCUUUGGGUAACUCUGGGCUGUUUUGUUGUUUUUUUUUUUUUCCUUAAAUUUCAGCUCCAGGAAGGAUUUGUUAAUAUAAAUUUAAUUUUUGCAGCUUUUGAAAGAAAUAUUUUUAAAGUUCAGUGCAGAGCAGGGAGGAUUUAAAUGGGAAUUUAAGAUAUGCCCCAGCAAGCAGGGGGUUCAUUCACAGCAUAGAAUCUGAGCAGGAAUUAAAAAGUAAAGGAAUUAAAGCAGGAAUUAAAAUUUAAGCAGGAAUUCCUGAAUAUUUUGAACACGUAAAGUGGUGAAAUAUCCCGUGUCCAUCUACACAUGCAUCCAAAAGGGAUAAGAAAAGGAGAAAUUAUCGAAAUUAUGGUUUAAAUCCAAAGGAAUCUGGUUCAGAAACUUGCCAGUGCCAGCAGCACUGGGAGUCACCUCAAUCCCCAGGAAUAAAUCCAGCAGUUCUUGUCCUGUCCUGCCUUUG
rnacentral:lncRNA from 1 species